UCAUCGUAGGGUUAGUCGGGACCUAAGUCGAGUCCGAGAGGGGUAGACGAUGGAAAGUUGGUUAAUAUUCCAACACCAAUUAUAGAGCGCGAUGGAAGGACGCUUAGGGCUAAACGAGCCAUCUGAUGGAAUAGAUGGUCGAAGGAUGUAGAUUGAGAUAUAGGCAAAUCCGUAUCUCUUUAUUCGAGAUCUUACAGGCACUAGAUACUCUUCGGAGUGGAAGGUGAAUCGUUGAUGCCGUCGAGCCAAGAAAAGUUUCUAAGUAUAUCUAUAAUUGCCCGUACCGUAAACCGACACAGGUGGGUGAGAUGAGUAUUCUAAGGCGCGUGGAAGAAUCCUGGUUAAGGAACUCUGCAAAAUAGCACCGUAUCUUCGGUAUAAGGUGUGCCUCCUUCUGUGAAGCCCAUACGGGUGGAGCGGAAAAGGUUGCAACAAAGAGUCCCUCCCGA
rnacentral:rRNA from 1 species